rnacentral:SRP_RNA from 1 species
UUCGACCCCUCGUGCGGCGUCACCUCGCUCAACUCCCCCAGGGCCGGAAGGCAGCAAGGGUCGGCGGGCUCUGUCGGGUGCGCGAGGGGUCCUCACA